rnacentral:rRNA from 1 species
UAAUACGGAGGAUGCGAGCGUUGUCCGGAUUUACUGGGUUUAAAGGGUGCGUAGGCGGGCGAUUAAGUGAGAAUUGAAAGGCAGUCGCUCAACGAUUGUAAGGUUCUCAUACUGGUUGCCUUGAGGGUAGUGGAGGCAGAUGGAAUGAGUGGAGUAGCGGUGAAAUGCAUAGAUACCACUUGGAACACCGAUUGCGAAGGCAGUCUGCUACGCUACAUCUGACGCUGAGGCACGAAAGCGUGGGGAGCAAACAGGAUUAGAUACCCUGGUAGUCCACGCUCUAAACGAUGGUUACUCGGUGUUCGCCUGUGGAGGUGAGUGCCUAAGCGAAAGCGAUAAGUAACCCACCUGGGGAGUACGACCGCAAGGUUG